rnacentral:lncRNA from 1 species
AUCCUCUAUGGCGAUCCUGAUGAUUUUGGAACUUGCGAUGGUUUGAUUUAUGAUUUUUCUUGAAACUCUAGUUUUGGGGAUGAAUAAAUUCGUUUUGGGGAUGAAGAAAAUUUGCUUCAAAAAAUGAACCAUUUUGGGGAUUUGGUGAUGAAACUGAACUGUUGGAUGAUCAAAUUGUUUACUCUAUGAAUCUCUGAAGGGAG